UCUCAGAGCACUUUAUUUCCCUUAGGCUUACGUAGUUAACUUUAGGGUCACCCUGUGUACCCCCUAAUUGACCUAUAAUUAUUUCCCGUGGUAGGGUACACUAUUACCCUGUAAUAUAAUACGUAUUCCAAUUUAAAAAUUAUAGGUCAAUAUUAAGGUCCGAUACCGUGCCGUUAGUUAACAUAGAAAAAUGUCUUUGAAUUUUUAAAGCAUUUUAGAACGCUUAUUUCCUCAUUUUAAGCUUCUCAGAACACUUUAUUUCGCACUUGCAUACAUAGUAAACUUUAGGGUCACGCUGUGUGCCCCCUAAAUGACCUAUAAUUAUUUCCUGUGGUUGGGUACACUAUUACCCUGUAAUAUAAUACUUGGUCCAAUU